rnacentral:rRNA from 1 species
CUACGGGUGGCUCCAGUCACGGAACCUUUACAAUGCGCGAAAGCGUGAUAGGGGGAUUCCAAGUGCCUUGCCAAAGGUAAGGCUUUUGUCAAAUGUAAGGAGUUUGGCGAAUAAGAGGUGGGUAAGACCGGUGCCAGCCGCCGCGGUAAUACCGGCGCCUCGAGUGGUAAUCAUGUUUAUUGGGCCUAAAGCGUUCGUAGCCGGUUUAGUAAAUUUCUUGUGAAAUUGUUCAGCUUAACUGAACAGCGUGCAGGAAACACUGCUAAACUUGAGACCGGGAGGAGACAGAGGUAUGCUGGGGGGAACGGUAAAAUGUUAUAAUCCUCAGUAGACCGCCAGUGGCGAAGGCUUCUGUCUAGAACGGCUCUGACGGUGAGGGACGAAAGCCAGGGGAGCAAAACGGAUUAGAUACCCCCGUAGUC